UUUUAUUAUAAUUUUUAAGAUCAUCGAUGACGAAUUUUAUGACGAUAAGAAGAAUGCUAUAGUGAAAAAGUAACAUAUUUGCUCAUGUACGGACGAACGGCAAUGAUCGAUAGAACGAACGUUUGAAAACUUCGUCGACGGUAAUCGAAGGUAAAAACAGCUGUUCGUAAAUACGUCAAUGCAAACGUAUUCUCUCGAUUCGUUGAUAAUCUCUAUUCGGCGACAAAAAAAAGACCGUGCAAAGUUCUUCGUCUGACUCCCCGAGGUAUGUACAUAUAUACACACGUAUUUCAUUUACAUAAUUCAAAAGGACUCCUUUUAAGAAGCAGCCAGAUGGUAAAUACACUCGUAUGGAUAUGAAUCCAAUUAGUUAUUUGAUCGUCAACUUUUCGCCAAGCAUCUGUCUGUACAAUUGAUAAGAAACGACGAUGAUCGACGAGACGUUUUCUUUAAGAAUAUUUCAAGGUGAAUUAAACGAAAAUGUUUAAUAAAAUUUGUAUCGUUUUCGAAUAUCAAGAUUGUUAGAUAUAUCUGCACUUCCGGUUAAAUUUUCCAGAGAAUUUUAUCGUUUUGACUAUGACGAUGACGAUGAUGAUGAUGAUAAUGAUGAUAAUAAUAUGAUGAAAAAUCAAGGGAGAGGGUGGAGUCUUGUGAGUGCACGAGCGAAUACGAGUUUUCGUGCGUGGUCAUCUACUCUGUGGCCAAAGAUAGACUCUGACAUCAUACACGCGAGCAUCGCUUGGCCCGAAGGAGCGAUAAACAGAGGAACGCGAGCGCGCAACGUACGACUCUUUAACGAACAAGUCGAAGGUCGUCAGAAAAGUGCAUUGCCCAUACAUUUUUACGGUGCUUAUACGCGUCACGAAACAGAUUCCCAAAAUAGACACUCUCCUUUUUUCGUAAGUACCUCUCUGUAAGCACUUUAAGAUUAUUUUCGAAUCUUUUCGAUACGUUCGUAGAGCACGAUCACAACCGAUAUGUUUGACUCAUGAUCGCAUUUAUCACAUCGAUAGAGAAACCUUCGAGAGGGAACAGGAACUUGCGAGCGACGACCGCCAAGGCAAGCAAGACACGUAUUCCUCUUUCUUUGUUCUAACAAGACGAUCGGUGAUCCUUGCUACGAUGUCCUUCCGGAAAUUUAAAAUAAAUCAUUCUAUGGUUCGAUAUUAAUCUAUUAUAUUUUGUCAACAUCAUGUAUGCGACGAAGAUCUCUAUAAUUUUUGAAAAUA